rnacentral:tRNA from 1 species
AUGUUUAUAACUCAAUGGAUAGAGUGUUGAAUUUCGGUCUCAAUAGUAUGGGUUCAAAUCCUAUUAAACGUA